rnacentral:lncRNA from 1 species
AUUGCUUCAAAAACUUUCCAAAAAAACUAAAAUUCAUACACUAAUAAAAAUACGAUAAAUACAAAAUUCAUGCAACGCAUAUGAUAGCGACUAGUAUUAUAAAUAAUUCAAUGUUAUGGAGUUCAAUCGAUAGUCGAUAGCCCACCAGGUCAUGUUUUCCUGGCCUCCCACCAGCAGCAGGUAUAUCGGAGCGUAGUUGAGAACCCGGUUUGACUUUAAAAGACGCACCACUCGCCAUUUGGUUGUAACUGUACAUAGCACUCGUGGUUUCAUUUUACGCUGUUGCUUGUUAGAAAUUAAUUUAAAUUAAUCAUGUAUUUUUUGUGAUUCAUAAUUUUUCAAAUACAUUUUUCAUUAAAUUUUACAAUCAUGCUAUUUGUACAAUCUUAGUGUCAAAUCACACUUAACACCACCAUAUUCAUCAAUUAUAAAAACUGUUUUUUAAAUCAAUGGUUCAAAUUUUGACAAUAUCAAUAUUGUCGACCACAAUUAUACAAAUUGAUUAAUUCUAAUUUUUAUUAAGAUUUAUUGAAAACUUUGUUUAAUUCAGGAUAAAUGUCAAUUUUAUCUAACAUGUUUAUGCAAGGUAGUAAUUUGUUUGAGUCGAUUAAUUUACAAUUUGAUUGCUCAUUUUAAAUUUUAAGUGGAUUAAACCCUCUUUGAUAGCAAGUUUUCACCUCAAAAAUCAUUUUUCCGACCAUUAUUUCAUUAUUUUAAUCGUCAUUUUUUAUUUUCUCUCUCAUAAGUAGACCUACUUUUUUCUCUAAUGGUUAAAAAUCAAUUUUCAAGACAUUGUUGAACGGACCCUAAAUUGUCAGUUGAAGUAUCAUGAGAUGGAUAUUAUUGUAGUCUUCUCCCCCUCCAUAUCAAGGAACUUCAGCUAGUAAACCUUCUGUGGCUCCACAUAUUCCUCGAAUUCCGAGGUAUUCAUCGCACAGAGCAAAUUGUCAUCGCCGAUCGUCUUUCUCUUCUCCAUCUGGCACUUAUCUGAUGCCUCCAGUGAUUAAGCUGAUGAACUCCUUUUGCAUUCACUGGCAGCGCCUUUUCAUGAUUCUGCUUACGUUCGCGAUUGGGAGAAACCUGUCUUGCUCUUUUCUCGACUCAUUAUUCGAAUCUGCCAUUUUUCGGGGUGUAUAGAACUGAUGAUUUUUUCUAGAUGACAGUUCGAAGAGAAGCAAAAUUUUCAGGUAUUUUAUUAGCACUAUUUUGAAGUGAGAAUUCUGAGCCAUUUUCUGUUAUACACAUAAUGAAGAUAUCAGAAAUUUGGCGAGAGGUAAAAACGAAUCAAAAUUUUUGAAUGUAAAGCGGGUUCGAGUGAAAAGUGUGAGAUCCGUUGGAUCAAAUGCUAUAAUGACACGAUCUAGGAGACACGUGGACGGUAUUAAACCGUUGUUUGUCGAUAGCCAUAAAUGCGAUAGACGAGUUUUGGUACUUUGGCGCCACUCGGUUUUUCAGAAGUGGACUGAUCUUGACCGUCAGUUAGCAUCUAGCACGUAGUGGGGCCUGGCUUGAUCCUGCUGCUUACUUGAAGUACACAUUAAAUGUGCAAGUAAUGAAUUUAGAGCUAUGCUUCUUAACCUUUCACGUAUUGUACUUAUGGCUUAUGGGUCUUUGACCUUCAAAAAUAAGGUUUUCGAUACUCAGCCUAUUUGAAUAUGUGAAUUUGGAUCCGCAAUUAGAUGAGAAUUGCUGAUUUUAAAGUUAAAAAGUCACAUUUUCAGUUGAAUUGAAGAUGUUGAGUGGUUUGGCAAUUUUGUCCUCUAGAUGAGUCAUGUAUAUGUCCCGUACGAUUUUAACAUUUAUAUCGAUGGUUUCGAUCACUCGGGUUUCCAGAUUUACCAAUUUAAAUAGAUUGGUACUCGAAUCCCCAAGGUUGGAAAUCUAUAACCAUACCAUGUGAAAAAUUGAGAGCCCAAACUUAAAUUUACCUGGAUUGUUUUGAAGAAUAGCUGCGGAAGUCUCCAACUUUUCAUGCAAAGAACAUUUUAAUCUCUAAUUUAGCAAAAGUAGCAUUCUCCUCUCCAACCAUUUAGCUUUUGGCAACCUUUCUGCCCUAAAAUUUAUUUCUAAGCUCUGUCCAUAAGAUAAGUAAUGAAUUGGAUUAGGUUUGUUGAAUUGUGCAAUGUUGUUUGCACACC